AUGGCGAGACAAGGACCCAAGGAGAGCAGAAGACAAAGGGGAUGCUCAGCCCCAAAACAGAAAAAUCAGGUUACAAGAUUACGCGUGUUCAUCCCUCUGGCUCCGGCCGCGGCCCAAGAGCGAGCUUCAUCUUUGAUCUUGCUGAAUAAUGAUAUUCUGAUUGGUAGCUUCUCUAGGUUGCAAGUGAUGAACCUGAUGUAUGAACCAUGUAGUUUCAUGGCUAUCUUCAUGCAUGUAUUUUGCCAAGACUUUGUCUAUCUGGUUAAUGCUGGAAGCUUAUUAUCUCAAGUUUGGUGUAUGAAAUGCAUGCUUCAUUGUUGA
rnacentral:rRNA from 1 species